GCGGGUCCACGGCCGCCGGAGGGGAGGGGACCGGCUGCCGGGUCUGGGGGAGCCGCGCAGCCGCGGGCCGCGCCCACGGUGCCCACCCGUGAGGGCAGCGGGGGGGCGGAGAGCAAGAUCCCGCGCGGGGCUCGGCCCCGGAGCGCGCCGGGAGCGGUUGGGGUCCCGCAUGGACCGGAGCUCAACCGCGCUCCUGCUGAGGCCUCUGCUGCUCCUGCUGCUGGCGACCCCCGCCCGGGGCUCCCCCGUCUACCACUACUUCGGGGAGCAGGGCCAAGGCGACACGUGGGAGCAGCUGCGGCUGCAGCAGCUGGGGAAAGACGAAGAAGACUCGAUCCUUGGCCCGUGGGGAAAGUGGCGGUGUCUUUGCGACCUGGGCAAGCAGGAGCGCAGCCGCGAGGUGCUGGGCACAGCCCCGGAUCCGGUGUUCAUGGACCGGGAGAACCUGGUGCAGAUGCUGCCCUGCCGGCAACGAGAUUGUUCGUCCUGCAAGCCGAUCGACUGCGACUGGAGGCCCUGAGUCCGGGCCCCAUGGUCUACGCCAUUUGUUAUUGUCCCAAGUCCCGCCUAGCAGAUCUGGAGGCCUUGAAAGUGGCAGACUCAAAGACCCUGUCGGAGAGCGAGCGGGACAGGCUCUUUGCGAAAAUGGAGGAGGAUGG